rnacentral:RNase_P_RNA from 1 species
CCAGACGGCUGGGCGGUCGCGGCGGGACUUGAUCUCGUCGAGGAAAGUCCGGGCUCCACGGUGAAAAGGCGGCGGAUAACUUCCGCCCGGGGCGACCCGAGGGAUAGCGCCACAGAAAGCAAACCUCCGGCCUCGCGAGACCGGUAAGGGUGAAAGGGUGGGGUAAGAGCCCACCGCGUGCCUGGCAACAGGGACGGCAUGGCAAGCCCCGCCUGGAGCAAGACCAAAUAGGGACAUCG